rnacentral:rRNA from 1 species
GUCGCAAGACCAAAGUGGGGGACCUUCGGGCCUCAUGCCAUCAGAUGUGCCCAGAUGGGAUUAGCUAGUAGGUGGGGUAACGGCUCACCUAGGCGACGAUCCCUAGCUGGUCUGAGAGGAUGACCAGCCACACUGGAACUGAGACACGGUCCAGACUCCUACGGGAGGCAGCAGUGGGGAAUAUUGCACAAUGGGCGCAAGCCUGAUGCAGCCAUGCCGCGUGUGUGAAGAAGGCCUUCGGGUUGUAAAGCACUUUCAGCGGGGAGGAAGGCGUUAAGGUUAAUAACCUUGGCGAUUGACGUUACCCGCAGAAGAAGCACCGGCUAACUCCGUGCCAGCAGCCGCGGUAAUACGGAGGGUGCAAGCGUUAAUCGGAAUUACUGGGCGUAAAGCGCACGCAGGCGGUCUGUCAAGUCGGAUGUGAAA